AUUGAACGCUGGCGGCAGGCCUAACACAUGCAAGUCGAACGAGUGGCGGACGGGUGAGUAAUGUCUGGGAAACUGCCUGAUGGAGGGGGAUAACUACUGGAAACGGUAGCUAAUACCGCAUACCAUCAGAUGUGCCCAGAUGGGAUUAGCUAGUUGGUGGGGUAACGGCUCACGGAGGCGACGAUCCCUAGCUGGUCUGAGAGGAUGACCGAGCACGCUGGAACUGUGGCACGGUCCAGACUCCUACGAGAGGCAGCAGGGGGGAAUAUUGGAGAAUGGUGGAAGGCCUGAUGCAGCCAUGCCGCGUGUAUGAAGAAGGCCGUCGGGUUGUAAAGUACUGUCAGCGGGGAGGCGUUACCCGCAGAAGAAGCACCGGCUAACUCCGUGCCAGCAGCCGCGGUAAUUC
rnacentral:rRNA from 1 species